GCGGAUGUAGCUCAGUUGGCUAGAGCGUCUGCUUGCCAUGCAGAAGGUCGUGGGUUCGAGUCCCAUCAUCCGCUCCU
rnacentral:tRNA from 2 species